rnacentral:lncRNA from 1 species
UUUAUUAUAAUUUCUUUUAUAUAUUAAAUAAUCUUUCUUCAAAUACAAUUUAAUUAUUGUAAAUUUGAAGAAGAGUACUUAAUAAUAUUACCACAUUUUUAUAUGUGAAAGUUUACUCUUAAGACAACAGUAGCAACAAUUAGCAGUGCCAAAUCUACAACAAUCACAACAAACAGCAUAUGCAUUUGCGCUUUGCAUCGAAGUAGAAACAACAACGAACAACACCAACAAUAACAUCAUCAUCAUCUUCAUUGAAGCUGCUUCCAUUGUAGCUUAACUUAAUUUAGAAGAAAGGUAAAAAUGAUUAAUCAAAUCCAAUAGUAAUAGAUAAACUACUAGGUCUUGGUUAAGAUUUUAUCAAAUGAAUUUUGAAAUCAGUUAUUUUAUAAAAAUCAUUAAUUUAACCAUAUUAUAUAUAAACAUAUCAAAUAAUAAAAUAUUUAUCAACAAUAAUCACAUGAUAAUGAAAAAAAAUCAACAUUAACUAUAAUACAGAUAAUGUUAUUAGCAAUGUUGUGAAACCCGAAUCGGACGUCAAACCGGAAGAGGUCUAGUAUUAGGUUUAACCGUCUGACUGGAUGAUUUUAUAUAUAAAAUAAUAGUUUUUAUCUAUAGAUAUGUAAUUUUAUAUAAAUGUAAAGUUUUAGAUAAUUAAUAAUUAUGUAUAAUUAUAUUGAAGUGACAUAUUUUCAUCUAUUUUGGACUAGAGUAAAACAAAAUAUCUGAGUGAUGUUCCAUUUUUUUAAUUGAACCGUCUUGUUUACUUCCUGGGUUAAUAUGGUUGAACCGAGUUUAGUUCAAGUCCGAUUAGCAAUUAGACCGGUCAAACUGUCUGGUCCGAUCCGAUUCUCAUAAUACUGGUUAUUAUUAGUUGGCCAAUUAUCACAUUAUUAUGAAAAACAAUGAAUAGUAUGCUGAAAAUGAUAGUAGAAAUAUUAAAUUAAGUAAAAAAUAUAUAUACAUCACUAACUUUAUUUUAGGAAACAUUUAUUGUGUUUACUAAAUAAAUAUAUUUUUACUCAAUUGUCAUUACAAAUAACACAGAACGUUAGAAAAAAUUAAAUAAAUAGAGUUGAAACAUUUUAGUAUAUUCAAAAGGGAUAAUAAAAAAGUAAUAAAAUAAUUUUAAAUUAAGUCAAUAGUUAGUGACACUUAUGUAUAUAAAAUAGGGACAUAAUAUGUUUUUCCUAAAGGUAAUUAUCUAUCAUUAGUAUUGAAAAUCAAUAAUAACCCCAAAAAUGUUUAAUUUACCACAAUAAUUAAGUCAAUAACAUAGAAUUACUAAAGCAAACAGAAAACUCGUAACAAAGAUUAUGAGAAAGAAAAAUUAUGAAAGAAAUCAUAAGCAAAUAUUUAGUGAUUUCAACACAUGGAAUAAUAAUGAGAACAUACACUAAUAGAAAACUCACAUAGUACACUUAUCCAUGGAUCAUGUCAUACUAACAAACAAACUAAAGAAUGUUAAAAGAAAAUAUAUAAAAAAGUUGUAUCUAAAUUCUAAACUACCUUAUUUCCUCUUGAUCUGCCUCCCUUUGAUGUAUGUACUUCCUUGGAGUUCUCUACCCUUUGU